rnacentral:tRNA from 1 species
AGUGGUUAAGCGCUUGGCUGCUAACCAAAAGGUUGGUGGUUCGAACCCAUCAGCUACUC